AAGUCGUAACAAGGUUUCCGUAGGUGAACCUGCGGAAGGAUCAUUAACACUUUUUAUUAUUUUGUUUUUUUUCUAAAACAAAAUUUAAAACCCCACAAUUUUGGAUGAAUUUAAUUUAUUUAUUUUUUAUUUUAUUUUUUUUAUUAUAACCCUAUUAUUUGACUAACAUUUUAUUUAAUUAUUAAAAAUUAAAAAAACAACUCUUAACAACGGAUAUCUUGGCUCUC
rnacentral:misc_RNA from 1 species